UACGAGGGGGGCGAGCGUUGUUCGGAAUUAUUGGGCGUAAAGGGUGCGUAGGCGGUUUGGUAAGUCUUAUGUGAAAUCUACAGGCUCAACUUGUAGUCUGCAUGAGAAACUGCCGGGCUUGAGUAUGGGAGAGGUGAGUGGAAUUCCUGGUGUAGCGGUGAAAUGCGUAGAUAUCAGGAGGAACACCUGUGGGGAAAGCGGCUCACUGGACCAUAACUGACGCUGAUGCACGAAAGCUAGGGGAGCAAACAGG
rnacentral:rRNA from 1 species